GACAAACGCUAACCUUACUAACGUUGGUCGCUUGACCGUUGGCUGGUUGACCGUUGGCUGGAUUGCUAGGCAGUCAAACGCUAACCAUAGUAACGUUGGUCGCUUGACCGUUAUCUGGUUGAGCGUUGGCUGGUUGACCGUUGGCUGGGUUGCUAGGCAGGCAAACGCUAACCAUAGUAACAUUGAAGAUGACGUUAGCUUAGGUAAAGGUUUGCACAAUAAAUGGACAAAGGUACAUUUGGAAAAUUAUUUGACGUCAAACCCCUACACGCUGUUAACACUUCGCGCGAAUUCGAUUUGUGGUGACUGGCAAAACCCCUUGGCAAAACCCACCAACCAUUUCCUUGUUGGCUACUGGUGAGCUACCGAUGCUACCCCGGUUAGCAUCACAUCAGAGAGUCCGUGGGAAGACGCAUCCCUCUCUCUCUCUCUUUGAAACAGUGGAGCCAGAGGUGUGAGCUGUUGGGAGGCAGCACUAAGAAUAGCACACAUGCCGGCGUGGUCAGUGGGGAGCUGAACCUCGGCUUUAGGGCCAGAGCCCUCCGCUCCUUUAAAAAAGGGUGCGUGGCUUGUCUGCUAUUACUGGCCCACUGAUGUGAGAUCGGAUAAAAGUUGAUGCUGCUGGCUGUGGGCUGUUUCCGCUGGUUGGAGAGGGGCAAAGCAUUGAUGACGGAUGUCUUCGCUGGGACUUGAGAGACUCCGUAAUGGGUGGUCGCAUUGGAUACGUCAGUGGCCUU